GCCUCACUCCCGCAUCUCGCGCGUCGCCGCCUAGCUGCUCCCCACGCCACCGCCUGCGCUCACCCUCGCGUCGUCGCCUCCGCUCGCCCUCGCGCCGUCGCCUCCGCUCGCCCUCGCGCCGUCGCCUCGUCUCUUGCUCCCCCGCCCUCUCGAUGCUCCGCAGCGCAACACCAGGAGAGCGCGAGCGCGAGCAGCCACGACCCUCUCCUCCUCUCCCACGCUCGUUCCCAUGUUGCCUCUCUCAUGCCGCCGCCGCCCCAUCUCCUCUCGCACUUCCUGUCCUGCUGAGCCCGCCCUCCCGUGCUUCACCACCUGGCCGCCUCUCGCUUCGAGGGGUGAAGGACGUCGAGCAGAUGAGUCCCACUGUCAACGGUGGUGAGGGUGACACACAACUCCGACGAGCUCGGCAGUGGGGAGACCGACGGACAACCCACGGUCGUCGCUUGCACGAGAAGGCGAGGGAGGCGACCUGAUGCGAAGCGCCCACUCAGUGCUUCCCCGCCAAAUCCAGCCGCCACCAGCUCGCUUCGGCCUCCUCAUCUUCGUGCAUCUCUGGGAAGAAGACAACCCAAGCUGAGUUGCCUGCCGAGCCGCAGUGAGAAGACAACGGGGGGCAGAACCCCAAGGGCAGAGUUGCAGUCCUCUAGAGCUGCGGGGAGGAAGAAGAAGAAGGCUCAUAUAUAUGCCUCUCUCAGGUGUGAACACUCUUCCCUGGAAUCGAAGAUCUGCCUAUCCCUGCAUCAUGUAAAGUGCGGCCUGCAGUUUGGAGAUGAGACGUUGAGGCCCUUUGUGCUGUUGGAGGCUGCUGGGUACUGUUGGAGCCGUUUGGUUCAUUCAUAUGGCAAAUCAAGUGGGCACUGUCACUGAGGCCAUAGAGGCUGUGAAACAGGCAAAGGAUGCUCAUUGGGGUGUGAUGGUGUCGUAUAGGUAUGGGGACACGGAUGAUUCUUUCAUCGCCGACCUGAUUGUCGGUGCAACAACUGGACAGAUCAAAGCCGGUGCCCCCUGCUGUGGAGAGUGCCUCAUGAAAUACAAUCAGCUUCUAAGAAUAGAGGAAGAACUUGGAAGCGAAGGGGUUUACGCUGGUAAAAAUUGGAGAACUACCCCGAGCUGACUCGUGGCUCACUGGAUUCCGCUGAUGCGGUCCGGGGGGUUUCUGUAAAGAUGUGUUUUGUGCUGGCUCAGCAAAGAUAAAAUUGUAGCAUUUGUUUGUUAACGAAGGAUCCUUAAAUUCUCCCUUGAACCUCAUACCUUGCCCUAUUUUGCAGCUCAGGGUUGUAAUUUGUCUAGGAGCCCGCUACUGGGUCAGGCGUGGUUAAUUUUAGUUGCUCUGUUUCAGAAAUGUUGCUUGUUCCUCAGUGUCUAGGACGACCAGUAAAAAAAUUGUUGUUGGUAGUUGUCACAGCUCACAAGUAGAUUUGGUGUACUGCGCAUCAUAUAUAAAUGCUGCCUGUAGCCAAAGAUUGAGUACCUCUAGAUGGAUAGAUUCAUUUGAUUGCAUGACCUGAAUUUAUGAUACCCAUUUUAUAGUACAGAAGAUGCACGAGGCAUCUGUUUUUUGUCAUAAAAAUGCAUAGGACCAUUCCCCUUUUCUUGUAUUGUUACCCACUUUGGAAGAGUAACAUGUUAUUGUGACGAAUCAGGUUGUUAUCGUGCUGAGGAUGCUAUGGGAAAACAGGGACAUGUUUGAUCUUGUUAUCAGUGAUGUGCACAUGCCAGACAUGGAUGGCUUUAAGCUUCUUGAGCUUGAUAUGGACCUCCCUGUCAUCAGAGUAAUGGAAUGUUAAUUGGCUGGUGGCGGCAUGUUCAACUAUGGGAAAUGAUGAGCUCCUACUUUUAUGCCAGCUCUAUGUCGUAGGUUGACCAUACUAUUGUGAGAAUCUCGGCCAGGAUCAUUCUUUAUAUCAUGUUGGUUCAUCUUGGAAUUCGUACAGCCGUUUAUCGUCGAAGGAUUUACUCACAGAACACAAUCAGUGUGAUUAUGCUUUUCUACACUUCUGUCCAGAGCAAUGGAUAUGUAUUUUGUAUUGUACGACUACCCUCUAAUGCACUACUCAGCCUUCAGUCUCUCUAUGUACAAAUGACUUGAUCUAAUUAUUGUGAAUGACCUGUGGAGUGCGAUGCUUCCUAUAUAAAUGACUUGUUCUAAUUCUGAUUUAUCA